rnacentral:rRNA from 1 species
GUCCACGCCGUAAACGAUGUGUGUUUGUCGCUGGGAGGUUUACCUUUCGGUGACGGAGCUAACGCGUUAAGCACACCGCCUGGGAAGUACGGUCGCAAGAUUAAAACUCAAAGGAAUUGACGGGGACCCGCACAAGCGGUGGAGUAUGUGGUUUAAUUCGUCGCAACGCGAAGAACCUUACCAGGCCUUGACAUGCCCUCUAUGGGCUCCAGAGACGGAGCUCUUCACUUCGGGUGGGAGGGACACAGGUGCUGCAUGGCUGUCGU